AAUGUAAUGUUAAAUUAAAUC
rnacentral:snRNA from 1 species